AAAAAACGAACCCAGUCACUCUUAUCUCUACCCCAACCUCCGCCGCUGCCCUUUCCCUGCCUCCACGCCGCUGCCGCCCUUCAUGUCAAACCUCGCACAACGUCUCUCGUCCCACAAUCGCCGAAUUCCAAACCCCAAUUCCUUCCUCAACGCCCAUGCUUCACUGAGUUCUCUCCGCUGCAUCGCCCUCUCCCGCCGCCACCCACCUCCGCAUGCCCGUACUAGCGCCCACGCCCGCGUGCAAGAAAAUAAUCGCUGCUGAUUUCCCGGCUAGGGACGGGCCUCUGCUCGCCGACGCCCCAUGCGAGACCUUCCAGAUUUCACUCGGCCGAGCGGCCGAGGCGCCGACGAAGGCUGCACAACAACAGUUCCCGCGACCUCUGCUGCAUCGCCAUCGUCUCCCGCCGCCUCUACCUCCAUGCCUCCCUCUGGUCGAGACUCCUUUCCCGUGACAUCCCCUUACAAUUCCAGCGCUAUUCAUCGUCAUCCUCCUCUUUCGCAGCAAAAUCAAGUAAUCUCCCUCUCUGCUCUUCAUGUUUCAGUUUAUUUCCCCGUUUGAGCGGACGCCUUAUGAUGUUCUGCUGCAGGUUCGAGAGGCACAAGGCACGGAUGGCGGGGGCGAUGCGGAAGGGCGCGUGCUGCGCAAUUGCCGUGCCGCAAGCAGUUGACAGAGCUGGAGGAGUCGAUGAUGUGUGCGGAGGGGAAUAGGAUGAAUCAUGAAGGCCACUGAGGAGUAGCUGGACAGCCUUUUGUUUUGUGGUCACUGUACUGCAAAAUUACCCCCACCCCCACCCCCCC
rnacentral:lncRNA from 1 species